rnacentral:misc_RNA from 1 species
GGUGAAUAAGCCUAAAGUUUGUGGAAAGCUGCGUCGCCUGGUGAAAGUGAAAAAGGUGGGGCAUGCUGGAACACUUGAUCCUAUGGCAACUGGAUUAUUGAUUGUAUGUGUUGGUAAAGCCACUAAGUUGGUAGAAAGAUAUCAAGGAAUGAUUAAGGGUUAUAGUGGAGUUCUCCGUUUAGGGGAGGCAACUUCAACUUGGGAUGCUGAUUCACCGGUUAUCCAGCGUGAGCCUUG